GACGUCCGCUUGCAGGUUAUUUCAUUAUAAACAUAACCCAGUUUCACCCAUUUCCAAUUGACUACUUGUUUACAUAUGUAAACAUUACGUUUAACUACGUAUUAAAUUUGGUAUUACUUAUACAAUUGGUUCAAAAUGUCACAUUUUUGCAGUGUCGUUUAAUGCUCAAUGCAUGCUGAACGAGAUACGGUUUCUUUUUUCCGAUUUUAGCGAGACAUAGAAGAGAGAGAUGAUUUGAAUAAAUAUUCUCUAGUGAACGUCGAAAUGCUUGUGUUAAGGCUUUAAAACGGGCACCUCUACGUGAAAUCUAUAUGAGAAAUGAUCGUAUUUGCUUACGACAUCAUAACUGGAAAACCAGCUGCCUUGAAAGACAAAACUAAUCCAGAUGUGUUGCCCAACGAAAAUUUAGGAAACAUUUAUAGUCCAGAUCAAUCUGCCUGCCUACUCCCUAUUUAAAAGGUUUUUAAAAAGAGCUAGAAUGAAGCCAGAGGUUGGUUGUUAUAACAUUAAAAAGCAUAAUGGUUUUAA